CUGCUCUGAAUGCAGCUGCUGCGCUGCACGAGGACUGGGCUGCCUGUUAGUGCUUUGGGACGGGGGAGGGGCCCACGGCAGCACCCGCUGCUCGUCGAGAAGAUUACCCCUUAAAUGCUGACAAAUUGAUGUUGGCCAAAAGCAUAAUAACAGUCUUCCCAUCACUGAAGAUCAAGAUGCAUUCCAGGAGCACUUCUAUGACCCAGUGUCCCACUGUGGAUUUAUCGAGGUCAAACUGAGAAACCUACGGAGAACCCUGCAAGAUGAUCAGCGACGCUAUCAUAAGCGGCGGAGGUCCAGUGAUCCCUCUCAUGUUACUAUAACACUGGAAGUGGUUGCAGAAGGGGAAGAAGAGUCCAUCAAGGAGUGGAUAACCAUCACCAAAAGAAUGAGACCAACUUCUGAGAACCUUGCAUCUAUCAAAAUGGGCAUGGAGAAAACCUUCAGCAACCGGAGGUUCUGGAUCUCAAGUAAAUCACCAACAGUCACUGAGAUUUUUCAGCAGUACCCCCGCUUUGUAGACCUGCCAUACUUGUUGGAUGCUGAGUUUGGGAAAAUGUUUCCGGGGAAGGAAAACCUCUUACUAAAGGAAAACCUGCCUACUAACAGUGGCAGCACUAGAAAAUCUAGCCAAUGUCUAACCCACUUGUGAGGAGAAUGAUGAAUCGCUUUGCUUCAGAGCCCUCCAGAUGUUAACCCACUUUCUACCACUUACUGCAUCAUGGAGGGCCAAAGGGUGGACCAGAUGCAGUGUUAAAUCAAAGAUAUAUUUUACGAUCAGAAAUUUAGACAACAAACUGUUAUAUAAUUAAAAAAUCUCAUAUGAUAACACAAGUGAUUAAUACUGAUAUGUGGCCUGCAUGUUGUUGUAUUUUCCCAGACUGGAACACGCAUCUCUGGCCUUCUAGAGGAAUCACCUGAGACAGCUGUGGGAGUCCACCAGCCCAAGCUUGUAUGUUUGGGACAUCCCAGUUCAACAGCGCAAUAUAUAAUUAUAGCAAAGAACGACAAAGUUGCCAUCCCUCUCAAAGAUGAAGGUUUGAUAUGCUACAUUUACAAGCUGUUCAAAGCUGUUCUUGGUUUGCAACCUGGCAUAUCCUGCCCAACUUGACUCAGUCUAUGCUUUCUUUGAGUAUGUGUAUGACAUGCCCACUUCAGGUGUAAAGAGAGCAAAAGCGUGGAGCUUAUUGCAAAGCUCCAGGCAGUGUUGUAAGUUGUACAACCAUGUAUGUUUGUCCCAAGUGCAAGAAAUCAAUUUAAAAACAAGUGAGGACUCUCAUUAGACAUUUGAGGCAAGUCCAUGCAAUUUCAGAUGGACAGGAUUAUACAAUCAUAUGUAGUCAAAACCACUGUCAGAGAACCUACCAUAACUUCAAUUCUUAUGCCAAACAUCUCAAUAGGGAACACACUAAGGCUGCAAACCCCAUAAAUUUGGAACAAUUAGUACAUUUUCAGGAUGUGUCAGAGGAUGUUUCUAUGGCAUCUUGCUCUAACGCCAUGGACACUCCAGAAACUGAGUUGAGCUCUAAUUUAGAUACCCAAAUGGAUCUUUAUUUUUCAGAUCACCAUGACUGCGCAGCCUCAUUUUUUGCCAAAAUGUACUCUGCAUCAAAUUCCACCUUAACUGAUGUGCAAAAAAGCAUUGCCUGGACAAAAGAGCUACUGGACAAGACAUUGGAUUCUUUAAAGGAAAAAACUGCAUUUCUGAUUAAUAGCUACUCCAUAUCAAAUGAAGAUGAUGCCGUCCAAUCUUUGAGGCUGGAUUAUGAAAAUGCAAGAAAUAUGUUUACAGAGGUGGAUACUCCCUACAAAAUGUACAAAUACUUUUCUGAAAAACAGUCCCUGGUCAUGAAUUUGUGUAGACAUUAUACAUGACAUUCUAGAAGGUGUGGCUCCACUGGAGGUAAAAUUGAUGCUCAAACAUUUUAUCUAUACUGAAAAGUUUUUCACCUUAGAGCAGUUCAAUGACAGAAUGGUAAGCUUUGAUUAUGGUUUUGCAAAUGAGAAAAACAAACGUAGUGUCAUUCUUAACUUGAGGACAUCAGAGAAUCCUAUAAGACAAACAGCCAGUCAGAUGUGGUGCCUCUUACUUUUUUUACCCUUCCCAAUUGGAGAUUUUAUUAGUGAACAUGAUCGACAUUCGAAAUUGUUCCUCCUUAUAGUAUUUGCCCCGGUUGUUAGUAACGGACUUCCUAUCUUUCUAAAGCAGUUGGUUAUUGAUCACCAUAAUUUGUUAAAGAGUCUAUAUCCAGACCGAUCGCUCACUCCGAAACAUCAUUUUAUGACUCACUAUUGUUGCAUGAUGAUUAAGUUUGGCACACGUUUGAAGUUAUGGUCUAUGAGAUUUGAGAGCAAGUGCGGCCCCCUAAAAAGGCAUGGUCAUGCUGUGUUUAACUUUAUUAAUAUUUCUAAGACUUUGGCUUAUAAGAAUCAAGUUCAAAGUAGGUUUAAAUGGAAAUUUAGUGAUCCAUUACAAAAGAAAAUGUCUUUCCCAAACGCCUUUCCAGUCAUGACUGGAUCUCUGGAAAAAAAGUGAUCUUUUCAUAGAAAAUUUUAAACCAUUUGGUUAUAAUAUCUCCAUUUGCGGAACAAUUCAUGUGACUCACUCGGUCUGUGUCCUUGGUCAGACAUAUAAAACAGGUUGUGUACUUGCUUUAAAUUGUGAUUUAAGAGGAGAGCGUCUCUUUGGAGAGAUUGUACACAUUGUUCCUGAUUGUGAGAAGGAAGAGGUAUUGAUUUUUCUUAAAAUUUUAACUGUGAAAUACUUUGACGAUCUUUUCUAUUCAUGUGGUAGAGCGGAAUGAUGAGCAUGAAAUGAUCAAUGUAAGAGAAGUAGCCGACAUCAGAUUACUAGACUUGCUGUCCUCUUUCAGUGGAAACCAACUGUAUGUAAAUCCAAGAUACAAAUUGAUUGUUUAAAUUUGCAUAAUUGGAAAGUGCUUAUUUAAGAUACCAGCCAACCACUUACUUGAAACGAAAGGAGCGGCAGCUAGCAAAUGGUGCCGUCUGUAUUAUGUUCCUGCAGAUUUAUGAUGGGUGACCUGAUGUCCCUGCAGUUACAUUUGCAGGUUAGCGCUUUGUUUUUGAAUUAUCAAAGAACUUCUGUGAAUGUUCGACCUGAAUUGUUUGUUCAGUUUUGUUUUAAACUAGUUGUUUACAUUAACUAAACAAUUGCUCAGUCAGUUAAGUAUGUAUUUACUGUAUUUUGCAUCUGUAUGAAAUGACCAAUGUAAAAGAUGUAGUAGACAUCAAAACACUAGACAUGCUAUCCUCUUUAAGUGAAAACAAACUAUCUCCAAAUUACAAAUUGAUUAUUUAAAUUUUCAUAAUUGUAAAGUGUUAUUUAAUAAGAUAGUCAACCACUUACUUGAAACAAAUGGUGCCGCCUUUAUUAUGUUCCUGAAGAUUUAUGAUGAUGACUUGAUGUUGAUGAAUUCUGAAAGGACUUCUGUUAAUGUUAUACCUGAAUUGUUUGUUCAGUUUUAAACUAGUUGUUAACACUAACUAGACAAUUGCUGUCAGUUUAACAUGUAUUUACUGUAUUUUCAUCUGUACAAAAUGUUUUACAGUAAUAAAGGCCAUG